rnacentral:rRNA from 1 species
UACGUAGGGUGCAAGCGUUGUCCGGAAUUAUUGGGCGUAAAGAGCUCGUAGGCGGUUUGUCGCGUCGGCUGUGAAAACCCGGGGCUCAACCCCGGGCCUGCAGUCGAUACGGGCAAGCUAGAGUGUGGUAGGGGAGACUGGAAUUCCUGGUGUAGCGGUGAAAUGCGCAGAUAUCAGGAGGAACACCGGUGGCGAAGGCGGGUCUCUGGGCCAUAACUGACGCUGAGGAGCGAAAGCGUGGGGAGCGAACAGG